rnacentral:rRNA from 1 species
UUAUCGGAGAGUUUGAUCCUGGCUCAGGACGAACGCUGGCGGCGUGCCUAAUACAUGCAAGUCGAGCGGACAGAUGGGAGCUUGCUCCCUGAUGUUAGCGGCGGACGGGUGAGUAACACGUGGGUAACCUGCCUGUAAGACUGGGAUAACUCCGGGAAACCGGGGCUAAUACCGGAUGGUUGUUUGAACCGCAUGGUUCAAACAUAAAAGGUGGCUUCGGCUACCACUUACAGAUGGACCCGCGGCGCAUUAGCUAGUUGGUGAGGUAAUGGCUCACCAAGGCAACGAUGCGUAGCCGACCUGAGAGGGUGAUCUACCACACUGGGACUGAGACACUACCAGACUCCUACGGGAGGCAGCAGUAGGGAAUCUUCCGCAAUGGACGAAAGUCUGACGGAGCAACGCCGCGUGAGUGAUGAAGGUUUUCGGAUCGUAAAGCUCUGUUGUUAGGGAAGAACAAGUACCGUUCGAAUAGGGCGGUACCUUGACGGUACCUAACCAGAAAGCCACGGCUAACUACGUGCCAGCAGCCGCGGUAAUACGUAGGUGGCAAGCGUUGUCCGGAAUUAUUGGGCGUAAAGGGCUCGCAGGCGGUUUCUUAAGUCUGAUGUGAAAGCCCCCGGCUCAACCGGGGAGGGUCAUUGGAAACUGGGGAACUUGAGUGCAGAAGAGGAGAGUGGAAUUCCACGUGUAGCGGUGAAAUGCGUAGAGAUGUGGAGGAACACCAGUGGCGAAGGCGACUCUCUGGUCUGUAACUGACGCUGAGGAGCGAAAGCGUGGGGAGCGAACAGGAUUAGAUACCCUGGUAGUCCACGCCGUAAACGAUGAGUGCUAAGUGUUAGGGGGUUUCCGCCCCUUAGUGCUGCAGCUAACGCAUUAAGCACUCCGCCUGGGGAGUACGGUCGCAAGACUGAAACUCAAAGGAAUUGACGGGGGCCCGCACAAGCGGUGGAGCAUGUGGUUUAAUUCGAAGCAACGCGAAGAACCUUACCAGGUCUUGACAUCCUCUGACAAUCCUAGAGAUAGGACGUCCCCUUCGGGGGCAGAGUGACAGGUGGUGCAUGGUUGUCGUCAGCUCGUGUCGUGAGAUGUUGGGUUAAGUCCCGCAACGAGCGCAACCCUUGAUCUUAGUUGCCAGCAUUCAGUUGGGCACUCUAAGGUGACUGCCGGUGACAAACCGGAGGAAGGUGGGGAUGACGUCAAAUCAUCAUGCCCCUUAUGACCUGGGCUACACACGUGCUACAAUGGACAGAACAAAGGGCAGCGAAACCGCGAGGUUAAGCCAAUCCCACAAAUCUGUUCUCAGUUCGGAUCGCAGUCUGCAACUCGACUGCGUGAAGCUGGAAUCGCUAGUAAUCGCGGAUCAGCAUGCCGCGGUGAAUACGUUCCCGGCCUUGUACACACCGCCCGUCACACCACGAGAGUUUGUAACACCCGAAGUCGGUGAGGUAACCUUUUAGGAGCCAGCCGCCGAAGGUGGGACAGAUGAUUGGGGUGAAGUCGUAACAAGGUAGCCGUAUCGGAAGGUGCGGCUGGAUCACCUCCUUU